GAUGAACGCUGGCGGCGUGCCUAAUACAUGCAAGUCGAGCGAAUGGAUUAAGAGCUUGCUCUUAUGAAGUUAGCGGCGGACGGGUGAGUAACACGUGGGUAACCUGCCCAUAAGACUGGGAUAACUCCGGGAAACCGGGGCUAAUACCCGAUAACAUUUUGAACCGCAUGGUUCGAAAUUGAAAGGCGGCGUCGGCUGUCAAUUAUGGCUGGACCCUGGUUGCAUUAGCUAGUUGGUGAGGUAACGGCCAACCAAGGCAACGAUGCGUAGCCGACCUGAGAGGGUGGUCGGCCACACUGGGACUGAGACACGGCCCAGACUCCUACGGGAGGCAGCAGUAGGGAAUCUUCCGCAAUGGACGAAAGUCUGACGGAGCAACGCCGCGUGAGUGAUGAAGGCUUUCGGGUCGUAAAACUCUGUUGUUAGGGAAGAACAAGUGCUAGUUGAAUAAGCUGGCACCUUGACGGUACCUAACCAGGAAGCCACGGCUAACUACGUGCCAGCCGCCGCAGUAA
rnacentral:rRNA from 1 species